rnacentral:rRNA from 1 species
UAAUAUAUAGUUAACUUGCCUUCUAGAAGGGGAUAAUUGUUGGAAACGACUUGUAAGACCCUAUAUGCCUUUAUCACAUAAGUGAGCAAGGGAAAUAUUUAUAGCUAGAAGAUAGGACUGUACGGUAUCAGUUAGUUGGUGAGGUAAUGGCUCACCAAGACUAUGACGCCUAACUGGUUUGAGAGGAUGAUCAGUCACACUGGAACUGAGACACGGUCCAGACUCC